GGCCGCCUGGCGAAAUGGCAUCGCGUCUGACUACGAUCGAAGCGUAGUGCAUCGCAAUCAGGAGAUUGCAGGUUCGACCCCUGCGGUGGUCA